GUGCAUGUCUCGUGUGCGUGUGUGUGUGUGUGUGCGUGUGUGUGUGUGUGCAUGUGUGUGUGUGUUUCGGAACGAAGUCGUCUGGCCGCAUCUCAACAGCAGGAGAGGGAGAGCAAACGGAGAAGCGCAUCUUGUGAACGAACUUAUUGGUUCCUGUCUUGCCCCUCCUUUCUCUCCGUUACUCGCACACAAGAUGAGCUCCGCUGCUGUCCAGGUCUCCGCCACCGCAGAGGCGAGUGCGCAAUCGGUGCCGCUCUUGAUCACGUGCCUGCACGCGUCUGCUUUCUCCGCCCCUCUCGCAGAGGAGCGUCGAGCCUUCGACAUCAUCGAGAGGCUUCUCUCUAACCGCUUGCAGCACCCGACUGAGCCGCGCUACACAUCGUUCUCUGCCACAAGCGCAGCGUGGGUCAACGGCGUUGCCCCGCUCGUCUACGUGUUUCGGUUAGCCGCAUGGAUGGGGUGCGCAGUGACAGCAGAGGGCACUCGUUACGUAUUCUUUGAAGGUCUCGGUGAAACGCACGCGCCCGGGCCAAGCAAUGAUGCGGAAGGCCGGCGGCAACGGCAUGGCCAGCAGCAGAUUGCGGAUCGCCUCGAUGAGCUUCGUUGCGUCGCCUCCGUAUGGGAUACAUCGGUCGCGGAGAGUUCUGCCGAUGCCUCGAGGCGCUAUCAAGACGCUCAUCAGCAGCUGCUCCAGCUUUUUCAGUCGGCCCAAGGCUUCACCGACCGAGAGGAGGUGUGGGCGCGGCACACCAACUGCCUGCAGCUUCACCGUCUCCUCGCCUGCGCGCCUGACGUGGAGCGGCAAGAGGGGACGACGUCCUCUCAGGCAACUUCGGAUGUGUUACAGAGAGUGCGCCGCCGCAUCGACAGCACGCGCGCAGCGAGAGCUCGAUCGCUUUUUAAGUGCGCCCGAUUCGAUGCCCUCGACGAACGCGCAGGGCGCGCGCAUGACGCGAGCGCUGUCGGUCCCUGGCACACAGCACGGUCGCCGUGGCGAAGGCGAAGCCCGUGAGACGUGCCUGGCGGAUGACUCUCUCCGAUGGCUGCUCUCUCACGCUUCGCUGUGCGAGUGCCACCGUAUGUGCGAAAACGUGGCUGCCGAGUCUGCCAGCAGCUCUGUGGGAAGCAGGGAGAGUAUGGCUACGGCCGUCCCGCUGGUUCCCGGCUUCUCUGCCCCAGUUGCGGCGCGACUUCGUCAGCGAGCGCAGCUGGAGCAGCACCAGGGCUACCUCGACGCAACAGGCCCCGCGUAUCGACGGCUGGGCCAUGAGGAGCGUCACCGCGGUGAGAGCCUUAUUAUGAGUAUUACUGCCCUCCUCGGGCAAAGCUCGGAGGUGACGGAAGCUCAGGGGACGGUGCGCCACGACCGGCACGAGGCGCGUCGGCUGAUGGGCAACUUCUGCCAAGACGGCGACCUUGUGAAGCUCUACGUGUUGGAGAAGUACGCAGCGGAGCUGGAGGAGGCGAAGCUGCUGCACAGGAAGCCGCUUGUCUACGCUGCGUUGUGCGAGCGGUAAAUCAGAUAACAAGUCGCAAGCAGACGCUCACAGUAAGUCAUCAGGGUUCUCUCAAGUACGUGCUGCUUUUUUUUUUGCGGCGUGUGGCAUUGCCGCCCUCCUGCUUACUCGCCUUCAUCGACGCGGCUGGCGCGGUGGCAGUCGCGUAGCUGCAGGGUAACUCGCCUUUACGCGUUC
rnacentral:misc_RNA from 1 species